CCUACGGGGGGCUGCAGUGGGGAAUAUUGGGCAAUGGGCGCAAGCCUGACCCAGCAACGCCGCGUGAAGGAAGAAGGCUUUCGGGUUGUAAACUUCUUUUCUCAGGGACGAAGAAAGUGACGGUACCUGAGGAAUAAGCCACGGCUAACUACGUGCCAGCAGCCGCGGUAAUACGUAGGUGGCAAGCGUUAUCCGGAUUUACUGGGUGUAAAGGGCGGGUAGGCGGGACUGCAAGUCAGAUGUGAAAACCACGGGCUCAACCUGUGGCCUGCAUUUGAAACUGUAGUUCUUGAGUACUGGAGAGGCAGACGGAAGUCCUAGUGUAGCGGUGAAAUGCGUAGAUAUUAGGAGGAACACCAGUGGCGAAGGCGGCUUACUGGACUGUAACUGACGUUGAGGCUCGAAAGCGUGGGGAGCAAACAGGAUUAGAUACCCGAGUAGUC
rnacentral:rRNA from 1 species